GACAAACGCUGGCGGUAUGCCUAACACAUGCAAGUCGAACGGACAGAACAGGGAAGCUUUUCGGAGUGGAACUGGAAAGUUAGUGGCGGAUGGGUGAGUAACGCGUGGACAACCUACCUUGUAAAGGGGAAUAACCUCGAGAAAUCGAAGCUAAUACCCCAUAAUAACCUUGCUUCGCAUGAAGUAAGGAGGAAAGGCGGCCUUAGCGCUGUCGAUACAAGAUGGGUCCGCGUCUGAUUAGCUAGUUGGUGAGGUAAAGGCUCACCAAGGCGACGAUCAGUAGCCGGCCUGAGAGGGUGAACGGCCACAUUGGGACUGAGACACGGCCCAAACUCCUACGGGAGGCAGCAGUGGGGAAUCUUCCGCAAUGGGCGAAAGCCUGACGGAGCAAUGCCGCGUGAGUGAAGGAGGCCUUCGGGUUGUAAAACUCUGUCCUUAUCGAAGAGAGAGUGUUGUAGUAACUGACAAUACUAGGACGGUAGAUGAGGAGGAAGCCCCGGCUAACUAUGUG
rnacentral:rRNA from 1 species